rnacentral:rRNA from 1 species
UGGGGAAUAUUGGACAAUGGGCGAAAGCCUGACCCAGCAACGCCGCGUGAAGGAUGAAGUAUUUCGGUAUGUAAACUUCGAAAGAAUAGGAAGAAUAAAUGACGGUACUAUUUAUAAGGUCCGGCUAACUACGUACCAGCAGCCGCGGUAAUACGUAGGGACCAAGCGUUGUUCGGAUUUACUGGGCGUAAAGGGCGCGUAGGCGGCAAUUCAAGUCAUCUGUGAAAUCUCCGGGCUUAACUCGGAACGGUCAGAUGAUACUGCUUUGCUAGAGUGCAGAAGGGGCAAUCGGAAUUCUUGGUGUAGCGGUGAAAUGCGUAGAUAUCAAGAGGAACACCUGAGGUGAAGACGGGUUGCUGGGCUGACACUGACGCUGAGGCGCGAAAGCCAGGGGAGCAAACGGGAUUAGAUACCCAAGUAGUCCCUGAGCGGGCUGGCAAGGCGCAU